UACGUAGGGUGCAAGCGUUGUCCGGAAUUAUUGGGCGUAAAGAGCUCGUAGGCGGUUUGUUGCGUCGGCUGUGAAAACCCGGGGCUCAACCCCGGGCCUGCAGCCGAUACGGGCAGACUAGAGUUCGGCAGGGGAGACUGGAAUUCCUGGUGUAGCGGUGAAAUGCGCAGAUAUCAGGAGGAACACCGGUGGCGAAGGCGGAUCUCUGGGCCGUAACUGACGCUGAGGAGCGAAAGCGUGGGGAGCGAACAGG
rnacentral:rRNA from 1 species